rnacentral:rRNA from 1 species
CUUGGUCAUUUAGAGGAAGUAAAAGUCGUAACAAGGUCUCCGUAGGUGAACCUGCGGAGGGAUCAUUACACAAAUAUGAAGGCGGGCUGGAACCUCUCGGGGUUACAGCCUUGCUGAAUUAUUCACCCUUGUCUUUUGCGUACUUCUUGUUUCCUUGGUGGGUUCGCCCACCACUAGGACAAACAUAAACCUUUUGUAAUUGCAAUCAGCGUCAGUAACAAAUUAAUAAUUACAACUUUCAACAACGGAUCUCUUGGUUCUGGCAUCGAUGAAGAACGCAGCGAAAUGCGAUAAGUAUUGUGAAUUGCAGAAUUCAGUGAAUCAUCGAAUCUUUGAACGCACAUUGCGCCCUUUGGUAUUCCAAAGGGCAUGCCUGUUCGAGCGUCAUUUGUACCCUCAAGCUUUGCUUGGUGUUGGGCGUCUUGUCUCUAGCUUUGCUGGAGACUCGCCUUAAAGUAAUUGGCAGCCGGCCUACUGGUUUCGGAGCGCAGCACAAGUCGCACUCUCUAUCAGCAAAGGUCUAGCAUCCAUUAAGCCUUUUUUUCAACUUUUGACCUCGGAUCAGGUAGGGAUACCCGCUGAACUUAAGCAUAUCAAUAAGCGGAG